rnacentral:rRNA from 1 species
GACGAACGCUGGCGGCGUGCCUAAUACAUGCAAGUUGAGCGCUGAAGGUUGGUACUUGUACCAACUGGAUGAGCAGCGAACGGGUGAGUAACGCGUGGGGAAUCUGCCUUUGAGCGGGGGACAACAUUUGGAAACGAAUGCUAAUACCGCAUAAAAACUUUAAACACAAGAUUUAAGUUUGAAAGAUGCAAUUGCAUCACUCAAAGAUGAUCCCGCGUUGUAUUAGCUAGUUGGUGAGGUAAAGGCUCACCAAGGCGAUGAUACAUAGCCGACCUGAGAGGGUGAUCGGCCACAUUGGGACUGGGACACGGCCCAAACUCCUACGGGAGGCAGCAGUAGGGAAUCUUCGGCAAUGGACGUAAGUCUGACCGAGCAACGCCGCGUGAGUGAAGAAGGUUUUCGGAUCGUAAAACUCUGUUGGUAGAGAAGAACGUUGGUGAGAGUGGAAAGCUCAUCAAGUGACGGUAACUACCCAGAAAGGGACGGCUAACUACGUG